UAUUAUAAUAAUUGUCUUGUGAAGAAUUGCUAUUCACCAGCUGCUAAUGGAGGUGCCGAAAUCUCAUUGCCAUUAUUAUUUGUAGCUCUGUUUGUCUGUAGCUAAUGUGAAAUUUCUUAUACAUCGAAUCAGCUACUAUAGCCUCGAUUCCAAGCCGCUGAGAAAGACGGCCUGGUAUACACUGUUUACGCAUGCGCCAGAAUUACCCAGAAUCUGGGUAAUCGUAAAUUGCAGUAUAUUUAUCAGUAUUCUUAUUCCGCAUUAGUUUGUAAAACAUUGAUAUCCGUUUCAUUUAUAAUGAUGUCAUUGAAAAAAGAAAUCUAGUCCAAGUUGUGUAAUGGCUGCUACCUUCUCUUCUGCUCUCGCGUACGCGUUAUCCUGUGUUGGAAAACCAGGUCUAGUGAAAGACAAGCAGCUGGAGAGGUUGAAGUGUCUGUAUGCUGGUGUUUAUGUGGGUACCGUACCGACCGGCUAUGGCAAGUCCCAGAGCAAGUCCAUCUGCUUUCCAGACACUCCCUUUCUUGAUUGAUGUGAAGCUUGACAGGACCAGUGCACCUCUCUCUGAAAGAAGUGUUGUGAUGGUGAUUUCUCCUCUUGUUUCUCUGAGUGAAGCCAUCUUCAAAGUGUUGGUGUGUCUGUUCGACGUUCAGUGCCAUUCUAUCUGGAAGGAAGUAUUGUUGUGACAUUUGCCGAAAAUUGGUCACAGAGUAAGUACGUGGUCAUCCGAGAACUGUGUGGCCUGAAUGUGUUUACAAUCCGAGGGACUUGUGUGUAUCCGAUCCGAGGGACUUGUUGCUUGAGUGUGUAUCCGGACUUGUUGCUUGAGUGUGUAUUAAUGGAUAGUGCGCUCAAUGGUUUAACUAAUUUCUUAUGAGAUUAACUUGUCGCCUGAGUGUGUAUCCGAUCCAAGCCUCAAGUUAAAUCUACAGACCUGAUGUUUUACUUAGCUGUCUCUGUCUACAGUAUAUACAGAGAGGUAGCCUCUUUUUCUUUUUUCUGUUCUCUUUAUCACAAUAAGAUAAAAUACUGUUUUAACGUUCAA